UGGCGGACGGGUGAGUAAUGUCUGGGAAACUGCCUGAUGGAGGGGGGUAACUACUGGAAACGGUAGCUAAUACCGCAUAACGUCGCAAGACCAAAGAGGGGGACCUUAGGGCCUCUCGCCAUCGGAUGUGCCCAGAUGGGAUUAGCUUGUUGGUGGGGUAACGGCUCACCAAGGCGACGAUCCCUAGCUGGUCUGAGAGGAUGACCAGCCACACUGGAACUGGGACACGGUCCAG
rnacentral:rRNA from 1 species